CAGUAGCCGCGGUAAUACGGAGGGAGCUAGCGUUGUUCGGAAUCACUGGGCGUAAAGCGCACGUAGGCGGCUAUUCAAGUCAGGGGUGAAAGCCCGGGGCUCAACCCCGGAACUGCCUUUGAAACUAGAUAGCUUGAAUCUUGGAGAGGCGAGUGGAAUUCCGAGUGUAGAGGUGAAAUUCGUAGAUAUUCGGAAGAACACCAGUGGCGAAGGCGACUCGCUGGACAAGUAUUGACGCUGAGGUGCGAAAGCGUGGGGAGCAAACAGGAUUAGAUACCCGAGUAGUCCCUGUCUCUUAUAA
rnacentral:rRNA from 1 species